GACAGAGGGUGCAAACGUUGUUCGGAUUUACUGGGCGUAAAGCGUGUGUAGGCGGCUUGGCAAGUUGGAUGUGAAAGCCCACGGCUCAACCGUGGAAGCGCAUCCAAAACUGCUUCGCUCGAGUCUCGGAGAGGAAGGUGGAAUGCUUGGUGUAGAGGUGAAAUUCGUAGAUAUCAAGCAGAACACCGGUGGCGAAGGCGGUUCUCUGGGCAUUACCUGACGCUGAGGAGCGAAAGUGUGGGGAGCGAACAGG
rnacentral:rRNA from 1 species